GACUGGUAAAAUAAAGAAAAAAAAUAGUGCUCAGCAUAAAUAAGUACACCCCCUUUGAAAAGUAAGAUUUUAGUCAAUGUCUCAAAGAACACAAGAACAAUUUUAAAAAAUCUGGACAAAACUGAGUUUUAUAGAACAUUUCCUUAACUCAGGACAUGAUAGUAAUGUUGAUACUAUAACUUAAGUGACAAAAUCUUCCAUUUUACUCAAAUUAGUUGAUGCAAAAAUGAACCCACCCCACAACAAAAGCUACUUGAUCUCGUAUUUUGUAGGACCUCCAUGAUUUUUUAGGACAGUACCAAGUCUUUUAGGCAUGGAAUUAACAAGCUGGCGACAUAUUGCAAUAUCUAUCUUUUUCCAUUCUUCAAGAACAACCUCUUUUAGAGCUUGGGUGCUGGAUGGAGAGUGAUGCUCAACUUGUCUUUUCAGAAUUCCCCACAGAUGUUCAAUUGGGUUCAGGUCAGGAGACAUACUUGGCCACUCAAUCACUUUCACCCUGUUCUUCUUCAGAAAUGUAAACGUGGCCUUAGAUGUGUGUUUUG